rnacentral:rRNA from 1 species
UAAGGAAUAUUGCGCAAUGGGCGACAGCCUGACGCAGCGACGCCGCGUGGGGGACGAAGGUCUUCGGAUUGUAAACCCCUUUCGGGAGGGAAGAUGGAACGGGUAACCGUUCGGACGGUACCUCCAGAAGCAGCCACGGCUAACUUCGUGCCAGCAGCCGCGGUAAUACGAAGGUGGCAAGCGUUGUUCGGAUUUACUGGGCGUACAGGGAGCGUAGGUGGUUCGGUAAGCCCUUUGUGAAAUCUCCAGGCUUAACCUGGAACAGUCGGAGGGGACUGCCGAGCUAGAGGAUGGGAGAGGAGCGCGGAAUUCCCGGUGUAGCGGUGAAAUGCGUAGAGAUCGGGAGGAAGGCCGGUGGCGAAGGCGGCGCUCUGGAACAUUUCUGACGCUGAGGCUCGAAAGCGUGGGGAGCAAACAGGAUUAGAUACCCUGGUAGUCCACGCCUUAAACGAUGGAUACUAAGUGACGGCGGGUUACCGCCGGUGCCGCAGCUAACGCAGUAAGUAUCCCGCCUGGGAAGUACGGCCGCAAGGUUGA